rnacentral:rRNA from 1 species
AGCGAACGUUUGCGGCGGGCCUAACACAUGCAAGUCGAACGAGAAGCCACCUUCGGGUGGUGGAAAGUGGCGCACGGGUGCGUAACACGUGGGUAAUCAACCCUCUAGACUGGGAUAACUCGAGGAAACCCGGGCUAAUACCGGAUAUGACACUGGAUUCUUCGGAGUUUGGUGGGAAAGAUUCGCAAGGGUCACUAGAGGACGAGCCCGCGGCCCAUCAGCUUGUUGGUAAGGUAAUGGCUUACCAAGGCUACGACGGGUAGCUGGUCUGAGAGGAUGGCCAGCCACACUGGAACUGAGACACGGUCCAG